AGAGUUUGAUCCUGGCUCAGAACAAACGCCAGCGGCGUGCCUAACACAUGCAAGUCGAACGAGAAAUCCUGAGCAAUCGGGAGAGUAAAGUGGCGCACGGGUGAGUAACGCGUGGGUAAUCUACCCUGGAGUUAGGAAUAACAUCUCGAAAGGGGUGCUAAUACCUAAUAAAAUCUUUGGGGCUCCGGUCCUGGAGAUUAAAGAUGGCUGAGGCUUGCAAGCCAUUGCUCAAGGAUGAGCCCGCGUACCAUUAGCUAGUUGGCGGGGUAAUGGCCCACCAAGGCAAUGAUGGUUAGCUGGUCUGAGAGGAUGGCCAGCCACACUGGAACUGAGAUACGGUCCAGACUCCUACGGGAGGCAGCAGUGAGGAAUCUUGCGCAAUGGGGGAAACCCUGACGCAGCAACGCCGCGUGAGUGAUGAAGGCCUUCGGGUCGUAAAGCUCUGUCAGAUGGGAAGAAGGUUCCGGCGAUCAAUAAGCGCCGGAAUUGACGGUACCGUUAAAGGAAGCACCGGCUAACUCCGUGCCAGCAGCCGCGGUAAUACGGAGGGUGCAAGCGUUGUUCGGAAUUAUUGGGCGUAAAGAGCGUGUAGGCGGCCUAGUAAGUCAGAUGUGAAAGCCCUUGGCUUAACCAAGGAAGGGCAUUUGAAACUGCUUGGCUUGAGUACGGGAGGGGGAAGCGGAAUUCCCGGUGUAGAGGUGAAAUUCGUAGAUAUCGGGAGGAACACCGGUGGCGAAGGCGGCUUCCUGGACCGAUACUGACGCUGAGACGCGAAAGCGUGGGGAGCAAACAGGAUUAGAUACCCUGGUAGUCCACGCCAUAAACGUUGGGCACUAGGUGUUGCGGGUAUUGACCCCUGCAGUGCCGAAGCUAACGCAUUAAGUGCCCCGCCUGGGGAGUACGGUCGCAAGGCUAAAACUCAAAGGAAUUGACGG
rnacentral:rRNA from 1 species